GGACUGAUAGCUCAAUGGUAGAGCGUGGAUUUGCAGUGUCCAAGGUUGCGUGUUCGAUUCACGCUCGGUCCU